GAUUCCUACUUGCAUGUUGAAAGGUUCCUGAAUAAACUGCUUCGAGAAGAAUGCUGUGUCAUCACUCUUUUCUGCUGGUCGGAGAAAGAAGCGACAUAUGGAUAUUGAGUCUUUGGGGAAUAUACUCAGGAUGACAUAGAAAGGGUUUCUCUGUAUAUCCCUGGCUGUACUGGAACCCACUUCAUAAACCAAGCUGGCCUUCAACUCAGAAAUCCACCUGCCUUCCAAAUUCUGGGAUUAAAGGCGUGUGCCACCACUGCCCGACAUCUUCUAAUGUUCUAACUAUACCUUACUGAAGGAAAGGAUAUUAAAACAUGUUAUUUGAUACAUUCAGAAAAUAAUUAGGUACAAAAUAUUUAUCCAACAAGUAAUAAUAUUCAAGUAAAAGACUGCAUAUUGCAAAAUACGUCCAUCUUGUACAUCCAUCCACAUAUGUUUGUGUCUAGCUGAUUUGUUCUACUAUUAUGCAGAGGCUGGUAAUGUAUUUAUGAGAAAUGGUCCUUCAUUGGAACAAGAAUGGAAUAUAACAUG
rnacentral:lncRNA from 1 species